AACGAACGCUGGCGGCAGGCCUAACACAUGCAAGUCGAGCGGUAGCACAGAGAGCUUGCCCUCGGGUGACGAGCGGCGGACGGGUGAGUAAUGUCUGGGAAACUGCCUGACGGAGGGGGAUAACUACUGGAAACGGUAGCUAAUACCGCAUAACGUCGCAAGACCAAAGUGGGGGACCUUCGGGCCUCAUGCCAUCAGAUGUGCCCAGAUGGGAUUAGCUAGUAGGUGGGGUAACGGCUCACCUAGGCGACGAUCCCUAGCUGGUCUGAGAGGAGGACACGCCACACUGAAACAGAGACACGGUACAGACUCCUGCGGGAGGCAGCAGGGUGGAAUAUUGCACAAUGGGGGCAGGCCGGAUGCAGCCAUGCCGCGUGUGUGAAGAAGUCCUUCGGGUUGUAAAGCACUUUCAGCGGGGAGGAAGGCGGUGAGGUUAAUAACCUCACCGAUUGACGUUACCCGCAGAAGAAGCACCGGCUAACUCCGUGCCAGCAGCCGCCGUAA
rnacentral:rRNA from 1 species